GGACGGGUGAGUAACACGUGGGUAACCUGCCUGUAAGACUGGGAUAACUCCGGGAAACCGGGGCUAAUACCGGAUGGUUGUUUGAACCGCAUGGUUCAGACAUAAAAGGUGGCUUCGGCUACCACUUACAGAUGGACCCGCGGCGCAUUAGCUAGUUGGUGAGGUAACGGCUCACCAAGGCAACGAUGCGUAGCCGACCUGAGAGGGUGAUCGGCCACACUGGGACUGAGACACGGCCCAGACUCCUACGGGAGGCAGCAGUAGGGAAUCUUCCGCAAUGGACGAAAGUCUGACGGAGCAACGCCGCGUGAGUGAUGAAGGUUUUCGGAUCGUAAAGCUCUGUUGUUAGGGAAGAACAAGUGCCGUUCAAAUAGGGCGGCACCUUGACGGUACCUAACCAGAAAGCCACGGCUAACUACGUGCCAGCAGCCGCGGUAAUACGUAGGUGGCAAGCGUUGUCCGGAAUUAUUGGGCGUAAAGGGCUCGCAGGCGGUUUCUUAAGUCUGAUGUGAAAGCCCCCGGCUCAACCGGGGAGGGUCAUUGGAAACUGGGGAACUUGAGUGCAGAAGAGGAGAGUGGAAUUCCACGUGUAGCGGUGAAAUGCGUAGAGAUGUGGAGGAACACCAGUGGCGAAGGCGACUCUCUGGUCUGUAACUGACGCUGAGGAGCGAAAGCGUGGGGAGCGAACAGGAUUAGAUACCCUGGUAGUCCACGCCGUAAACGAUGAGUGCUAAGUGUUAGGGGGUUUCCGCCCCUUAGUGCUGCAGCUAACGCAUUAAGCACUCCGCCUGGGGAGUACGGUCGCAAGACUGAAACUCAAAGGAAUUGACGGGGGCCCGCACAAGCGGUGGAGCAUGUGGUUUAAUUCGA
rnacentral:rRNA from 1 species